rnacentral:rRNA from 1 species
GAUGAACGCUGGCGGCGUGCCUAACACAUGCAAGUCGAACGGAGUCGUUUUGGAAAUCUCUUCGGAGAUGGAAUUCUCGACUUAGUGGCGGACGGGUGAGUAACGCGUGAGCAAUCUGCCUUUAAGAGGGGGAUAACAGUCGGAAACGGCUGCUAAUACCGCAUAAAGCAUUAAAUUCGCAUGUUUUUGAUGCCAAAGGAGCAAUCCGCUUUUAGAUGAGCUCGCGUCUGAUUAGCUAGUUGGCGGGGUAACGGCCCACCAAGGCGACGAUCAGUAGCCGGACUGAGAGGUUGAACGGCCACAUUGGGACUGAGGCACGGCCCAGACUCCUACGGGAGGCAGCAGUGGGGAAUAUUGCGCAAUGGGGGAAACCCUGACGCAGCAACGCCGCGUGAUUGAAGAAGGCCUUCGGGUUGUAAAGAUCUUUAAUCAGGGACGAAACAAAUGACGGUACCUGAAGAAUAAGCUCCGGCUAACUACGUG